AACGAACGCUGGCGGCGCGCCUAAUACAUGCAAGUCGAGCGAGAAGACGUAGCAAUACGUUUGUAAAGCGGCGAACGGGUGAGGAAUACAUGGGUAACCUACCCUCGAGUGGGGAAUAACUAGCCGAAAGGUUAGCUAAUACCGCGUACGCUCCUUGGACUUCGGUUCAGGGAGGAAAGCGAUACCGUGGGUAUCGCGCUCUUGGAUGGGCUCAUGUCCUAUCAGCUUGUUGGUGAGGUAACGGCUCACCAAGGCUUCGACGGGUAGCUGGUCUGAGAGGACGAUCAGCCACACUGGCACUGCGACACGGGCCAGACUCCUACGGGAGGCAGCAGUGGGGAAUUGUUCGCAAUGGGCGCAAGCCUGACGACGCAACGCCGCGUGGAGGAUGAAGGUCUUCGGAUUGUAAACUCCUGUUGCUCGGGACGAAAUGCUCCAGCCUAACACGUUGGAGUUUGACGGUACCGGGUGAGGAAGCCCCGGCUAACUCUGUGCCAGCAGCC
rnacentral:rRNA from 1 species